rnacentral:rRNA from 1 species
UACGAAGGGUGCAAGCGUUACUCGGAAUUACUGGGCGUAAAGCGUGCGUAGGUGGUGAGUUAAGUCUGUCGUGAAAGCCCCGGGCUCAACCUGGGAAUGGCGAUGGAUACUGGCUCGCUAGAGUGCGGUAGAGGAGAGUGGAAUUCCCGGUGUAGCAGUGAAAUGCGUAGAGAUCGGGAGGAACAUCAGUUGCGAAGGCGGCUCUCUGGACCAGCACUGACACUGAGGCACGAGAGCGUGGGGAGCAAACAGG